GAGGCGCUAGUAAAGGGAAUUACCCUGCCUUGUCAAGGCAGAAUCGUGGGCUCAAACCCCACGCGCCUUA
rnacentral:tRNA from 1 species